ACCUCAUGGUUGGGACAUUUCAUGAGCUUACCAUUAAAUCUCUCCCACACCUUGUAUAGAGUCUCUCCAUUCAAUUGUCGAAAGUUUAUGAUUUCAUCAUGCAAUU
rfam:Capsicum annuum cultivar Zunla-1 chromosome 10, whole genome shotgun sequence